rnacentral:rRNA from 1 species
UACGAAGGGGGGCUAGCGUUGUUCGGAAUACUGGCGUAAGCGUAAUGCAGGCGGAUCUUUAAGUCGGGGGUGAAAUCCUGAGGCUCAACCUCAGAACUGCCUUCGAUACUGGAGAUCUUGAGUCCGGGAGAGGUGAGUGGAACUGCGAGUGUAGAGGUGAAAUUCGUAGAUAUUCGCAAGAACACCAGUGGCGAAGGCGGCUCACUGGCCCGGUACUGACGCUGAGAUACGAAAGCGUGGGGAGCAAACAGGG